ACUCCUUGUGAGGGAGCGAAGAUGGCCAAGGCAAGAAAAAUGGCUCCCUCCUGCCUUUUCUCCUCCGGGCAGCCAUACCGCCCAGAACCGCCCGCCCGAGAUGAUCAAACAGGCGGGCUGUCUACCCGCCCCGGGAAUGGAACACUGACCCGGAGCCGGAGGAGUAGUAGUAGUACCAGCUCACUCAAAGCGCCUCGAGACUGUAGAAGCCCGGGACACAGCGGGUGGGGGAUGAGAGCAUCCGGCCGCACGCGACCGUCACUACAACAGAAAUUGCAGGGAAAAUCUCAGCAAGCGCUGUGCAGAAUGAGAGAGAGAGAAAAAGAAAGUUAAUAUUUCGGGUCGACAACUUUUACUAACUUGGUUCUCCAGCACCCGCACUCCCAUUUUCCGUCGGUCUUAGUCGCGUUCGUACAGAGUUAAAGCAGAAGUUACACUGUAAUCUACAGCCCCGUGUGCUAAUGCAAGCUACGACAAAGGUUUAUAUACCUGUGACGUUGCACGCCGGCCUACGGAGGAAAGGAUGGGGGCGGUGGAGCCCAUUUUUUAAAAACUGCGCACGCGCACGUAGGUUCUGGAGGCGUACUGGAAAGACACCUUCUCCUGGAGUAGGAGGUACUUGAACUCGGUUUUCGAGGUGAUCGUACAAUAUUAUCUGAACAGGCUGUUGAGGGGCAAAAGAAAUUUACCGUUCGUUUCAUCAGUACUUUUUAUUUCAAAGACACUCGCGAAAUUUGUGACUGUGCCCGUGGCUCAGCUCCUUUGCGCGUAUUUUCUGUCUAAGGAUGUCACCAGUCAGUGUAGUUUAAAUGUGACAGCUGCUUUAGUCUCCAGUUACGUAGAUUUGUAAAUUGGCAGCCCAGAAAAGGCAUUAGGCGAUCUAGGCCCGAGUCUCGCUAUGGCCAGUUUAUUUAAAAUAUCAAUUUAUUUGUAAAACUCUAGUAGCCACGGUUAAUGUUUUUAGAUCAAAGUAUGUAAAGAAAUUGCCUUUUGUUCUGUAAUUUUUGUUUUGUAAGUCUGUCCAAAUAUCUUGAUUUUGGGCUUAAUGCAGAAUUUUGUUGGAUAUUUCCUGUGAAACAUUCGGAUGUGUUAUGUUGUAAGGGACUGCAAUUUUCAUCCAAAGGAAAUCAGGUAGUACUUAAAAGAAAGAAACAAUGGGCUUUUGUUUUGAAAAACUGCACUUUGUUCAUACAAAAAGUUAUCUUUAUGUACAUACACGAGUUUAGCCUUAACAUAUAAUGAAAACAAACAUUAAAAUUUGACCUACCCUGCAGUUGCAGAAACCAAAGGCAUUUCUUAUUCGAGCAAGAUACUGCAGUGUUUGCGUACGUUUUGAGGCAAAGAGAGUGUGGUAACCAAACAGACCCUCGUUGGACUUUGGCAGAGAAACCUCAGAUGGAGGUCUUUCCCCACAGCGCCUUAGUGGCAGCUGCCCCAAGUCUUGGUGCAUCCCUCGGCAUGUAAUCCUGAACUUGGAAAUGUGCCAGUCUGAAAUAUUUGGUUCAGGUUAACCCAUUCAACUGGAAGACCAACAUGUUUCGGGCAGACCAAAGAACGACUUUCGCCAAGUUGGUGGCCCUCUAGGAACAGUCAGUGUUUUUCUCUGUGUGUGCCCAGGGAACAGCUGGUAGAGCACGGAGCUGCUUGGGAUGAAGCUUGACAAAAAUUGCUACAUCUCCAUGCUUCCUUUGCAAAGGCACAUUCCAGAAGAAGAUGAGUGACAGUCUCUUUGGUGCAGGUCCUUUAGGGCAGCAUGCAGUGGCUUACAGAGACCAGUAUGCAUGAAGGAUCUGACGGGCAGUGCCCUUCUUGCCACCAGCCAAAGUGGUGCUUAUUGGAAAAUCCUGGUGAUAAGGAGUUCUGCCAUAUAACUUUGACAGUCUGCUCAGGGGAUUGUCCUGUAGGGUCUUGAGGACAUUACGUGCUGACCACUUCCUGAUGGACUUGUGGUCCAAGGUGUUUUUCUUUGCAAAUGUUUCCACGAAGGACAGAUGAAAUGGAAUGGCCCAAACAGUCAGAGUGUUCCUCGGUACCAAGGCCAGACCCAUCCUUCACGACAGAGACUUGUACGUGGUGUCCCUGCGGAUGUGGUCCAUUUUUGAGCUCCAAAUAAAGUGGAAGAAGGCUUUGGUGAUUGCAGAUGUGAUGGUUCGGGAAAUAAGAUAGACCUGUGCCAUUUGCAGCAACACCAAGUGUACCUCGCAUGUGAUGACCAGGUUUUUACCCACAAUACAGCAGUGCUCCCAUAAGCCUAGUUUCUGCCUCACCUUGACAAAGUGCUCUUUCCAAGAUUUUGUGCACAUCCCGGAGCCUCUGAAUCGUCUUUCUAGCAGGACAACCAUGAACACACGGGACAUAAUCAAGGUCUGUUUCAUCAGGGCCAUCAUUGUCACUGGAAACAACACACAAGAAACACCAGACAGACCAGGAUAAAUGUACCUAGGGUAGUUCUGGUUCAGCCCACCAGACACAGGCGAAUGUGAAGAUGGUUUGCUAUGGGUAUACCCCAAUAAAAGUAUAAUGUUCGGUGCAACAACCAGCGGGCAGUAUAUAGAAAAACAAAUAGGAGCUCAGAUGAUCGCUACCUGAAUAUAGAGAUCGCGGGAUUCUCAAUGGGUGCCCCGAGAUAGAUGCUUAGCAAGCGGCCCAGAAAAGGGAUUGGAACUCCAGACAUCGAUGUCCCGGAAACUCAUAGAAGAGAAGUUUGUUCUGUACGAGAUUAGGAACAGCCUAAAUCCACCCGCAGAGACACCCCAACCCAUUUGUCCUGAAGCCACCCCACUCCACAAAACAGGCUAGUUUUAACAACAUGCCUGUACCCAAUUUAUUUGAAUGAACAUGCACUGUGUGUCUUUAAGACAAACACCAGUCUACGUUGUCCCAUAGAGGCUCGCAAGCUGGACACCUACGUAACCCAGGUAGCCUACAGAGGAGAAGGGGAAUAUUGUCUCACAGCCUCACUUUGUGCUGUCCCAUGCUGAUACAUUCUAUGUAAUGUCACCAAUACCACCUUCUGCAUUCGGCCGCACGUACCUGCCAGGAUAGGCCUAAUUCAGCUGAUAAAUAUACACAAAAGGGAAAAGGUGGAAUUUAAUGCAAGUGAGGAACUCCGGCAAACUCUGGGGUAGUAACUGGAGAUGUAUGACACUGGUCUCAAAGCCCGGCUGGAGGAAUUACACCAAAUUCGAACCCAACUGGCCACAGCCCAUAGAACAUUCACCAAGGUAGUACAACAGGCCGCUGAUGUCAAAAAACGAAUAAAAGAAAUUAAAGUUACAACAUGGUGGGAGGAUUUCUGGGACUGGAGCUCUAACAUACAAAUCAAUCCUUAGGUCCAUCUUGUGUCACAUCUGUGGCUGUUCUUAAUCCUGGUUCCCUGGUAUAUCUCAUCAUCCUCACUGUCAAAUUUGCCUGGUGGAAAAGAGAACUAUCACAAAAACUGAACAUAGAGACCUCACUCAAUUCACUGUCUCCACAAGCCUAUUAAAAAGGCACCCUAUUGCAACAUUGUAAAUAUUUGUUUAUCCUACUAUUUGUAUAAAAUGUUCCAGAUUAUUUGUUCACUUGUACACGCUGACCCUUGUUCGACCACAGUCUGCUGUAUGUAUGACUCUGGUUUUGUAAUGUUUGUUUGACUUUUGCUAAGAAUUCCCAAUGUCUUAUUUAUUUCUAAUUUACCAAGCUUGUUUGAUUAGGCGUUAAGUCCGAAUUUUGAUGUUCCAUUCAUGUAGAGUUUGAUGUUUUCUUGAUCUCAGUUAGAUGCAAUUUUCCAAUGCACUAUCUGUAAGAGUUUAGUUGUUUGAGUGUAUGUUGUACUUUGCUUGAGCUUGGAUGAUCAUACAGUUGCCACAUGGAAAUUGGUCUGUGAUUAUGUGAUCCAUUACAUUUCAUGUUCAGGAUCAAGAGGAGGGACUGUGGCCGGAUGGGCCACUCAAAAUGGCGGACUUACGAAAAACCGGAUAAUAAAUAAAGCAUGCUGGGAAAUUAAGCCAGGCAAAGGCCAAAAGUAUCAGUGCUAAAAAAAACAAGCUGCACAUGCAGACAGGCUGCAGCUGCAGACAGCACAAUAUACAAUUGACCCAGCCCAUCCCCAGGACAACAGGAAACAUUGAGUUGUAUUCCAGAACAACGGGGUGCCUCACACCCUUAUUUGAGAAAGGCUACUUGUCCUACAUGCCCCAAACACCUUCAGGAAUGGAGGCCCAAGGACCACCCCACCAUCAACACAUCAACGCCUGAUUGAUCGGACCCAAUCAGGGUAAUCAAGCCCUGAUUGAUCCAUUAGCAGGAAUCAAAGAACCUCCCAAUAGGACAUGAAAGUUUCCAGGUAUAUGAAUUGCCGCAAUACCACCCUUGGGAGCGGUAACUCGAAACCAACAAUCGUGAAGAGGAGCCAACCCUGGGAGCACUGGGAGAAGAAGACCAGACGAUCAUUGGCACGUGCAUCAAGGCCAAGAUCUAGACUGGUGCUAUUUGAUCAUUCAAAGUUAAGUUAAAGUAAAAGAUAGUUAAUUAGAUUUAUAGCGGUAAUUGUUAGUUUGUCAUGUAUUUUGUUAUUUUAGUAUUAAUUGUGUUGAAGUAGAUAAAGAUGAUUUCUUAUUACUAUUAA